rnacentral:rRNA from 1 species
CCUACGGGGGGCUGCAGUGGGGAAUAUUGGGCAAUGGGCGCAAGCCUGACCCAGCAACGCCGCGUGAAGGAAGAAGGCUUUCGGGUUGUAAACUUCUUUUCUGAGGGACGAAGAAAGUGACGGUACCUCAGGAAUAAGCCACGGCUAACUACGUGCCAGCAGCCGCGGUAAUACGUAGGAGGCAAGCGUUAUCCGGAAUGACUGGGCGUAAAGGGUGCGUAGGUGGUUUGACAAGUUAGUAGCGCAACUCCGGAGCUCAACUUCGGAACUACUACUAAAACUGUUGGACUUGAGUGCAGGAGGGGCAAUCGGAAUUCCUAGUGUAGCGGUGGAAUGCGUAGAUAUUAGGAGGAACACCAGUGGCGAAGGCGGAUUGCUAGACUGUAACUGACACUGAGGCACGAAAGCGUGGGGAGCAAACAGGAUUAGAUACCCCGGUAGUC